AAAAAGUUUAUUUCAUAAGUACAUCAAGAAAAAGAUAAGUACAUCAACAGUACAAGUCUUGACACUGCGUAACACAAGAAACUAAAAUAUUGAACUAAACAUUUCAGAACCAAAAAAUAAUAACGUAAGAAGUUUAUUUCAUAAGUUACAACAAGAAAUUGAUGCAAACAUCUAAAGAACAGUCUUUGCGUUGAGUUAUCCAAUAAACUAAACAGAUUGAACCAAAAUGAUGUUAUUUAAACUGUGAGCUCAUAAGGAUUAUAUAUAGUCUGUUUAAAAUCAAUUUGAAAUAUGUAUUACAAAGUGAUGGAUAAAGAUUAUUUUUUAAUUUUAAGGGCAGGCAGUUCUUAUUUAAUCCAGAAGCCAUUUUGAAUCGCUAAGGACCGCAUGCAAGUAAGUUGUAAGAACAGACAGAAUAUGAAAUACGUUUUGCUUAUCGCUGCUCUGUUGAGUGUCCCUGCCUCGCAAGCAAUGGAAGAGGGCUUCGUAGAAAUAGUUCAAAUUCCAAAAUGGAUGACGAGAAUAUGUGGAAAGCAAGAUCAGACCUGCAAUUUUUAUCCCUGCUGUUUACAUUACACUUGCAUAUACAGUGCAAAAGCUCGACUCAAUAUGUGUACCAGAAAAACCAACAUUGGGUAGACUUAAAAUGAUGCUUUUUUUCCUUGGCGUUUGAAGCAGUGUAGCAUUUCCCUCAAUUAUGAACAUAUUGAUCAAAUCGUUUCUCGUUUUAUUUCAUUUUUAAAUAGAGAGAACAAUCUUUUUUAAAAU